rnacentral:tRNA from 1 species
GCACGUGUGGCGGAAUGGUAGACGCGGCAGACUCAAAAUCUGCUGAAGGCAACUUCGUGGGGGUUCAAGUCCCUUCACGUGCACCA